UACGGAGGGGCUAGCGUUGUUCGGAAUUACUGGGCGUAAAGCGCACGUAGGCGGACUGUUAAGUCGGGGGUGAAAUCCUGGGGCUCAACCUCAGAAUUGCCUCCGAUACUGGCAGUCUCGAGUGCGGGAGAGGUGAGUGGAAUUCCCAGUGUAGAGGUGAAAUUCGUGAGAUAUUGGGAAGAACACCAGUGGCGAAGGCGGCUCACUGGCCCGUAACUGACGCUGAGGUGCGGAAAGC
rnacentral:rRNA from 1 species